rnacentral:rRNA from 1 species
UACGUAGGGCGCAAGCGUUGUCCGGAAUUAUUGGGCGUAAAGAGCUCGUAGGCGGCUUGUCACGUCGGGUGUGAAAGCCCGGGGCUUAACCCCGGGUCUGCAUUCGAUACGGGCUGGCUAGAGUGUGGUAGGGGAGAUCGGAAUUCCUGGUGUAGCGGUGAAAUGCGCAGAUAUCAGGAGGAACACCGGUGGCGAAGGCGGGACUCUGGGCCGAUACUGACGCUGAGGAGCGAAAGCGUGGGGAGCGAACAGG